rnacentral:rRNA from 1 species
AUUGAACGCUGGCGGCAGGCCUAACACAUGCAAGUCGAACGAGUGGCGGACGGGUGAGUAAUGUCUGGGAAACUGCUUGAUGGAGGGGGAUAACUACUGGAAACGGUAGCUAAUACCGCAUACCAUCAGAUGUGCCCAGAUGGGAUUAGCUAGUUGGUGGGGUAACGGCUCACCAAGGCGACGAUCCCUAGCUGGUCUGAGAGGAUGACCAGCCACACUGGAACUGAGACACGGUCCAGACUCCUACGGGAGGCAGCAGUGGGGAAUAUUGCACAAUGGGCGAAAGCCUGAUGCAGCCAUGCCGCGUGUGUGAAGAAGGCCUUCGGGUUGUAAAGUACUUUCAGCGGGGAAGCGUUACCCACAGAGGAAGCACCGGCUAACUCCGUGCCAGCAGCCGCGGUAAUAC